rnacentral:lncRNA from 1 species
UUUCUGAGCUGUUGGUGUAUUUGAGCUAAAAUUAGAAAUUUUAUGGUUUUCUUGGAUCAAUUCUUUAAGGAAGCUGGAAUUCGGACCAGAGGUAGUUGCUCCAUCAUUCUCCACUGAUUUUGGGACUUUUCUUCACCUGAAUUCAGGAUUGGAAGGUGAGUUUGACAUUGCAAUUUGGAGGAAUUAAGCUUAAGUGCUAAAUUUGAGGGUAUUGAUGGAAAUUUUGGUGUUUUUGUGUUUAGAUCUUUAGAGAAGAUUUUUGCUGGUUCGUGGUUGAUCUUGGCUGAGCUUCUCCUAGCGACUUCUAGUCUUUGUCAGACUCGCGCUAGAGGUGGGUUAAUGUUUACCAGAAUCGUCGGAUUUUCUUCUAAGCCGAAGUUGAUAGCAUGUGUUUUAGGCUUCGUAUAUCAUGUUACUAGCUCGAUUUGUAGAUUUGCAUUGUUUUUAAAUGGAAUUUGAAUUGGAGCUUUAGUUGAUAGUUUUAUUACACAUGUUGGACUUGGAAUUGACUUAGGUGAAAACUAUCGAUUCUACACCGUCAUUUUCUAAAACUACCAGAUUUAGCUAUAGAAGUCGUAGUUUAUUUGUAUCGCAGCAGUUUGUAGACGGUGGAUACCCAGAGAAGUAUAGAAUGCAUUUACGCUCGUGCUGGAAUGCCGAGUUUAUUUUUACAGUAGUGUAUAGACUGUUCCGGACUGUCGGGUGCCGUUGUGGUUGACGGUGGACCCUGAUUGCUGUUUUAGCAUCUGAUUGUGCCGAGGGCAUGUAGAUUAUGAUUGUUAGACCAGUUAGACCAUUUGCUUUGACUAUAGCCUGUGAAAGCAUGAUUGAGCUCGACAGAGAUACGCUUGCAUACUCGGUUGGGUAGCACCCACGAGUGCCA